rnacentral:rRNA from 1 species
AUGAACGCUGGCGGCGUGCUUAAUACAUGCAAGUCGAACGGAGAUAGUAGCAAUAUUAUCUUAGUGGCGAACGGGUGAGUAACGCGUUGGUGACCUGCCCCGAAGAGAGGGAUAGCAGUUCGAAAGGACUGAUAAUACCUCAUGUGGUUGUUGGUUUUAGAAUCUGACAACUAAACGGAUUUAUUCGCUUCGGGAGGGGCCUGCGUCCCAUCAGCUAGUUGGUAGGGUAAUGGCCUACCAAGGCGAUGACGGGUAGGGGACCUGAGAGGGUGGCCCCCCACAAUGGAACUGAAACACGGUCCAUACACCUACGGGUGGCAGCAGUAGGGAAUAUUGGUAAUGUGCGAAAGCGCGAACCAGCAACGCCGCGUGCACGAUGAAGGCCUUCGGGUCGUAAAGUGCUUUUAGAGAGGAUGAGGAAGGACAGUACUUUCUGAAUAAGCCUCGGCUAACUACGU